UACUCUUCACAUUUUCUCCCAAAUAUCUCUUUGUACAGCUACGUGUUAGGGUUCGAUCAUCUCUUUGUCAAUGUCGAUUAUCUCUAGAUUCACCUGUUAACAAAAGGAAGCGAAGAAAGCAACUCACAAGGGGGAAAAUUCUAAAGAGAUAAUACAAGAGAAGAGCGGCUGAAGUAAAAGAAAAAGGUAUUCAUUAUCUUUAACAUUUACUUGACAGUGACAACUUGUAUUUUGCUGCAGAAAUGGCUCGAAUAUGGGCAUAGGUUAUGAUUAAGCCGCUUGCAUUAAGUUAAGCCACGCCAAGGAGAUGGACCUGUGUGAUUUAUUCAGUAUUUCCAAUUGGAACAAUUAAUAAGUUGUCCUGUUAUCAAAGGAGAAACAUGGGUGGCUACAAAAUGAAGAAGAGCAAGAAUAAUUCAUGGGAAGCAGCACUAUUAUCUUCCUUCUUUGUUCUUUCCUUUCCCUCCUGUGGUAAUUUGGAACUGAUGGUUCCCUUGAAGGAUGUCUUUCAUUUUUGCCUUUUUUAUUAAUACAAGCAUCGGCUUCAGUAGUGAAUUCAUUAAAUAGGCAACUGGCAGCAAUCAACAGACAAAGUUUCUGAAAUUUUAGUUGUUGGUUUUGUUGUAUUUCUCUAAGAAAGGCAAAGAAUUCAAGACCAGUUUGAUAGAUCUAUAUUCAUUCUUAGUCCAUUCCCAAAUCCCAAUGGAUUGCCCACCAUAAAUGAAAUCCUUUUUUUCUAAACUUGCUCUACUUCUCUCUAAACUGUAAAUUUGAUAGUCUUUUUUUUUUCCUCAAAAAUAAUAGAUGAGGAGGAAUGUCAAAAGUCUCAUUGAUCACCAGGAACCUUUUCAAUUACUCCUAUUACACAUGGAGAGAACAUACACAUAUAUAAAAGAGCAUCCAGAGCUAAAAACUUUAAGAUUGACCGAUACAGAUAAUUUUCCUAAACCAAGUUGGAAGAAGAAGAAGAAAGAGUUGGAAGAAAGAUGAGAGGAGUUGGUAUUAAUAAGUUAUAUAGUGUUCCACAUCAGGUACAACAAGGCAUUUAAAGGGUCUACAUAUAUUUUGAGACUUUCCUCCCAUAGUGUCUCAUUCCAUUUAUAGCAUAUCUUUUCAAGCUUGAACUAUGUAAAUACAAAUCGCAAAAAGGGAAGCCUGGGGUACUAAGCUCCAGGUAUGCGCAGGUUCUGGAAAAGGGCCAGACCAAUAUUUAAUAGAUCUAUUGUACAGUCUUACUUUGUAUUUCUGAAAGAGGUUGUUUCCAAACCCCUGGCCUCCUGGUCACACGACGACAACUCUUACCAUUGCGCCUAGGCUCUCGUUCCUUCUAGUAUAAA